UAGUUUUUAUGUAAAUUUCACGGUCUUUUUUUUUACAGUGUAAUUUACAGGAAGCAGUACGCCGUCUUCACAACUCAGAGACAAAUUGUAGGUACUACAAACCGGAGCAAGGGUAAGAUUUAAAGAAUAUGCUUUCAUUGAAUGAAUUUCAUUCAUUCUGCUGUAUAAGGACAUAGAUACGUUAAUAGAUACCGAUCUUAACCGUACAUUUUUUUACAGACUAACCUUGCCCCAUAACGAGGCCGUGACCUCCUAUUUGCUCGGAGGUACUGUAUGUCUACAAGUCCAGAUUUACAUGAUGAUGAUAAUGACGCCAUUGUGUCUGCCUGUAAGACAUAUUAUGAGACAGCACGCAGGAGCUUCAGGUAGAAACAACCAGAUCUGGCAUUGCGGGCAGAAGCUGUGAAGAGUUCAGCUCGGAGUCGGUCGAGAAGAAAAGAGGCUGCUGGAAGCGAGACAGAGUGUGGUGGCUGCGGGUGAGGUGGACAUUUGAAAGUGCGCCACAAUAGACCUGAUGAUCUGAAAUACAGGGCAAAGCACCACAGAUGUCUGCAAAAUGGACCAAAUUCAGACAGAAUGCCGC